UGAGGAAUAUUCGGCAAUGGGGGGAACCCUGACCGAGCAACGCCGCGUGGAGGAUGACGGUUUUCGGAUUGUAAACUCCUUUUCGCAGGGAAGAGUGAGGACGGUACCUGGGGAAUAAGUCACGGCUAACUACGUGCCAGCAGCCGCGGUAAUACGUAGGUGGCAAGCGUUAUCCGGAAUUACUGGGCGUAAAGCGCACGCAGGUGGCGGCUUAAGUCUGACGUGAAAGCUCCUGGCUUAACUGGGAGAGGUCGUUGGAGACUGGGCGGCUUGAGGCGAGGAGAGGGGUGUAGAAUUCCCGGUGUAGUGGUGGAAUGCGUAGAGAUCGGGAGGAAUACCAGUGGCGAAAGCGGCACCCUGGCCUUGGCCUGACGCUCAGGUGCGAAAGCGUGGGGAGCGAACGGG
rnacentral:rRNA from 1 species